rnacentral:tRNA from 1 species
GGUCUGGUGGCCGAGGCGACAGCGGCGCCGGUCUUCACACGGCAGGGCCGGGGUUCAAAUCCCUUCCAGACCG